AUGGCCAGGGAGGCGUCGUCGUCCUCCGCGCCGGGGCCCUCAGAGUUGCCGCCGGCGGCUGGUGGCAGCGGCAGCGGAAGCGGCGGGGACACGCCGCGAGUGACGCGGCGACGCGCCCGCGGCGACCCCCUCCUCAUCGUGUGCGGCUGCUUCAGCGUCGUCACGGCCGCCACCGCCUUGCUCUGCGUCGCCGUCAACGUCCUCUCCGCUGUCCAGUCCUUCCGCCGCAACGGUGGCUACAUAUUCGGGGGCAUAUUCCGGUGCUAUGCGGUGGUGAUCUCGCUGUUCGUGGCCGUCCUCGAGACCGAGUGGGGAUUCAUCAUCAAAUUCUGCAAGAUAUUGGAAUACUGGCCUGCAAGGGGGAUGCUACAGAUAUUUGUUGCUGUCAUGACGAAGGCAUACCCAAACGUUGAAAGGAGCGAUCUGAUUUUGCUUCAGGACAUUGCCAGCUAUCUGCUCCUUGCAUGUGGACUAAUCUAUGUAAUCUCGGGGGUAUUAUGUCUUGGUGUACUAAAGCGUUCUAGGCAGCAGAAAGCAACAUCACGAGAGCAAGCAGCCAAAGAUCUGCAUGAGCUGGAGAAGCGGAGAGAGGAACUCGAGGCAUUGUUAAUUGCUGAGAGGUCCGAAUUGGUCUGA
rnacentral:rRNA from 1 species